GUGUACUGGCUUCCUUGGAAAGCAACAGGAUUUUGCUUCUUUUGCCUGUGUGUAAUUCUCUCAAGACUUCCAUUCCCUCCGAAAACUUGAAUUAAUACACCGACAUGCCAUUUCAGCUCUGCAGGACAUAAAUCCGGAAAUGACAGUGUUAAUAAUGCUGGAUCUCUCUGACUUGCAGAGGUGGGGACGUCAUUUCUGCUACGGAAGACCACCAAGAAAACAGAAUUACUAUAGGAUACAAGGUGAUGAUUCAUUGGAUGCUUGCUCCCUUCUGAGUAAUGAUUGAAUCAUAGCUGAUGCUGAGGAUGGAAAAGACAGCUUGACAGAAAAAAAACUAUGGCUAUUUUUAGUGCUGUCCUUCUAUCUUGGUCAAAAUUUCCUCUUC
ensembl:lncRNA